GUGUUGUUCAAUCAAUCGAAUUAAAAAAAAAUGAAACUCCUAUCUUUUGGACUUGUGGCUUUGGCCUUCGUUUUGGGUUAUGCCAAUGCUGAGCCAUGCAAUUUGGGCGGAGGUGGCGGAAGUGGUAAUGGCAAAUAGAGACUCGUGCAUUCCUUUUCCCGCGACAGACCCAUGAUGUAAAUGGUUUAUUGUAGUAGUUGCCUUCUCUAAAAAUUCGAAAUAAAUCUUUGCAUGCUCUUGAAUGUAAA
rnacentral:sRNA from 1 species